UGGGUAACGCUGAAGUGACGCGGAGCCUAAUCUUCAGCAAACAUCAUCGACCCGCUGUGCGCAGAGCGUUGAACACCGUCCAAAAGGAAGGAAGGAUUUUAUUUGCAAGAGCCAGGACCAGCAAAUGAAAGUUGAGAUUUCUUUCUUCUUGAAAAUUUCGCCCAAAAGUUAACGUCGCGAUGAGACCGAGGAGAACAUUUGUCAUGUCCUUUCUCAUGGCAUCUAUUUUAAUACACGCCAUCUGUUGUGACGAGAUUAAGGAGGGCUUAGCCCGGAACGACAGGUCUCUUGCAAUGAGACUUUGGACAGAUUCAGACAACUGGAAAUUGUGUUUCGCGUCGACGACAUAUGUGUGUUUCUGCUCCAAGUCAGCCAAGAUCCAGGCUUGCUAUAACCCUAAGGAGUUCAAGUACGUUCAUGAGCGUCCGCCAUUUUUCCGAGGUUAAACACUGCAACAACGGAUCACCUGCUAGCUCAUAUGUCACACCGAAGAAGGAAAAUGGAGCAUCAGCGGAGGGAACCAACCAAACUUGAGCAGGGAAUGCGACACUCUGUCAAAACAAUCCACCAGGACUACAAUUAUUGCGAGGCUGUUAAAAAUUCCAAGGGACUACUCUGGGCUCUCUAUGGCCCCUCCUUAAAACACUUAUUUGAAUACCCCCGCUGGAACAAAAAGAGACAAAACUCAAGCUUUGCCCGUGUGUUGACAACAUUUUGAUUAAAUUUGUCAUCGAAGAUCUAGGGUUUGUGUUGAGUUUCUGUUUAUAUUCCACUGAGGACAAUAAAUCCAGUCAAUGAACCCACAGCUACCCCCAGAAUAAAGAACAAAAAUCAUGCAUCGGCCUUCUAUUGGUGAAAUAUUAAAUCUUUAGUUUUUCCUUUCUUUUUUGCACCAUUAAUUUAGCAAGUGCAUUCAUUAUUGCCUUGGCGGAGUUGUGACCGUCUUGAUGCUAUCUUGACAGGUCAGUAAUUAAUCUUAAGACUGUUUGCAAAUGACCUUCAACGUAAAUUGAUUUUGACGUUGUAUUUGCA